rnacentral:tRNA from 1 species
GCCCGGAUGGCGGAACUGGUAUACGCGCACGACUUAAAAUCGUGUCUCGAAAGGGAUGUGGGUUCGAUUCCCACUCUGGGCA